CCGAAGGCCCAGUAGCCGGUGAUGGCCGGGAAGUAGAACGUGAAGAAUAUCACCGCGUAGCACAGCACCAGCGCCUUCAUCAUCUUCCCGGCCGCCGGUGGCGCCAGCGUGGCCUGCUCACGUCGUUGGGCGUUACUAGAAUGCCGUUGCCGAAGACGGAAGCGAGGAUGGAGAUGGAAAGGAAUGCGUUGAAGGUCUUCUCUGACUUGGACGAGCUCAACGAGUAAUCCUUCGCUGGAGCGUUGCUCGACACACCUGUGAAGCACGGAAGUUACAAUGAUAAUUCAGCUUUCUGUCCAAACAACAUGAAAAUUCAUGCGCUUAGCCACUUGUCACUCUACAAGCACCUAAAGACGAAGCGGCUGAGACAAGGAUGGUGUAGCCGAAGCUGAGGAUCAGGGAGCCGAGGUUGAUGUGCCGCAGCGAGUGGAACGACGGCAGCUGCGAGAGGAAGGCCAGCACCACGGCGACGAUGAUGAUGAAAUGGUACAGCUUCAAGG